UGCCAAGAAGCAAACAAGAGGCUCUGAGAAAGUCCUACAGUCAUGCACUCCCAUUCUAAGAGCAAGUCCAUGUCCUUUAUCUUCCUACCUGCACUACAGAAGUGAAUGACCUCUCAGCCUGGAGUUCUACCCUAUGGCUCACGGCACUCCGGUGUCUUGAUGGAAGACCCCGCUGGAUUAUAAAUUCAGAGAGAUGUGUAUUAGAAUCCUGGGUCUGCCAUUGUUUUCAGAUGUGUGUCCACAGGUUUAUCAAGGCGUAGCCCACCAUAAGCUGAAAAGAAUCUGCGUGUCCUCACAAUGACUGAAUCCCAGCUUUGCAUCACAGAACAACAUGGGAACUUCAAACUUUGUAACUAAAUUAAAGUUGCAGUGCACAGCCAGCUCUCUCUGAACCUGGCUGAAAAAAAGUAUAAAUCCUCUCUGGAAGAAGGUAACUUUACUUUAUGCCUCAAAUUGUUUCUACAAAUAAGUUUCCAAAUAUACAAGAAGUAAAAGAACGUUGCAGUAAAGAAACCAUAAGCAAGAGUCCAUCAAAAAGACCAGAAAAUGAAACCCUGAGGGACCCUGGUAUUAGAAUGAUCAAACACAGAAUAUGAAAAAAAAAAAACGAUCAAUACAUUCAAGAAGAAAAAGGAAGGGCAUAAAGUUUUAAGGAACAGAAGCUAUAACCUGCAAUAAGUAAAAAAAAAAAUAGAAUUCUAGAACUAAAAAUAAAAUAUUUUUAGACAAAAAUAAAAAUUAAAAACUAAGUGGACAGGUUUAGAAGCAAAUUAAACACAGCUGAAGAGAAAAAAAAUAAGUUAGAAGAAUUUAGUCAGAAAGAAGCAUGAAGCCACAAAAGAUGGAAAAAUGUAGAAAGAAAGUAAGAGACCUAGGAUAUGUGAACAGAUUUAAUAUAUUUUUAACUGGAAGAGAGAAGCUAGAAACUUGGCAGGGGCAAUUUAGAGAUAAUGAUUCAAAGUAACCCAGAACUGAUGAAAGACAUCAAUUCACUCUAAGAAGUCGAACAUCUCAAGUAGUAUUUUAAAAAGAAAAAGAAAAAAAAGAAGCCCAAAUUCACAUAGUGAAUUGUGGAAAAAUAAAGCUGAAAAGCAACCAGAAAAAAAGAGAGACAGAUUUUCUUUGGAGGAACAACAGCUAGACUAACAGCUGACUUCUCAAUAAGAACCAUGGAAGUUGGAAGCUAGCAAAAUAACUUUAGUGUACUGAAAAGGAAAUGGAGUCACGUGUGGCAUAGCAACACUUCCGUCAACAAGGGACUGCGUAUUUGAUACUGCCCCAUAAGAUCAUAUUGCCUGGUGAUGUCACAGCCAUCUUAGUUUGGAAUGGGGUUGCUGGCCUGCCUGGAAGGACAGUGCUUUGCUGCCCCAGAGAAAGGAGCAGUUGGGAACCUGAUGUCUUCAGUGACCUCUGCAUCCUGGUUUCAUCCCCAGGGAUACGGGGCGUGGCUGACUCCACCUCCAUCACUGAGACCAUGGUAUUGGGGAUUGUCAUUUCACUUCUUGACAUUCUUCUUUAUAAGUAUAGUUGGUCUCCUCAUAACUGUUAUAUGCUGUCAAAACAGACUUUCAAAUUAAAGUAUAUACUCUAGCAGAGAUGAAGAAAGAAUUGAUCAAAGAAGUACUGGGAUCCCAUCCGAAUAAGAGAAAGCAGCAUGUCACUGUGAAGAUAGCACAGCUGGAAAAGGGUGAUUUGGGACCUUGAUUGGCAUAAUGUCACACUCCUUUGAGUACAAGGACUGAAGGAUGCAAGAGGAGAGAAGAUGAGUUAAAAAAAACAUCAUGGGAUUCUUGAGCACUUACAAAAAUAUGGCAGUUUGUCAUCAACUUCAUUUUUUUUUCUUUUUUUGCCAGGUAAUGACAAGGAUUAGUGCUGGGAUCCUCCUGGGUGCAAAUUUAAGAGCUACAAGUUGACAACUGUGACUUUGGCCUAGAAACAAACUCUCAAAACCACAUGUGUUUCAUUAUGAGAUUGUAAUGGCACCUUCCUCAGAACAGGUGAACAGAACAACUACCUACAAAUUGGCACAGUCUCUAACACAGAGGAAAAAGUAAAAUAUGUGACUUUUAUUAAAUAUACAUCUCAAACUUCCCAACAAACCACUGAAAUUCAAUGGGCAGUCAUCCAGGGAUGAUUUUAGACAUUGCAACUUGUUAUAACAAGUUUGGAUGUGAGGUGUCCUCCACAAGGUCAUGUGUGAGACAAUGCAAGAAGGUGAUCAAAUCCUAAGAGUCUUAAUCCAAUCCAUCUAUUAAUCCUGUGAUGGGAUUAACUGGAUGGUGGCUGGAGGCAGGUAGGGCGUGGCUGGAGAAGGUGGGUCAUUGGGAGUAUGCUUUUUGUGUGUGUGUAUUCUGUAUUUGAUGAGCGGAGUCUUUCUCUUACUACCUCUGAUCAUCAUGUGAGCUGCUUCCCUCUGCCACACUCUUCUUCCAUGAUGUUCUGCCUCACCUUGAGCCCUGAGGAAUAGAGCCAGAUGUCUAUGGAUGGAGACCUCUGAAAUCAUGAGCUCCCAAAUAAACUUUUCCUCCUUUACAAUUGUUUGGUCAGUUUUUUUAGUUACAGCAGCGAAAAAAUCUGAGUAAAACACAACCAGAAGCAUUGUUUUCUGCACAUCAAAACGAAGGCUAGUUGUAAAUUUUGUUUUCUGGAGUAUAACCUAGUAAUGUUAUAAUUCAU